rnacentral:rRNA from 1 species
CCUACGGGGGGCUUCAGUGGGGAAUAUUGGACAAUGGGGGCAACCCUGAUCCAGCCAUGCCGCGUGUGUGAAGAAGGCCCUCGGGUUGUAAAGCACUUUCAGUGAGGAAGAACGCCUGGUGGUUAAUACCCAUCAGGAAAGACAUCACUCACAGAAGAAGCACCGGCUAACUCCGUGCCAGCAGCCGCGGUAAUACGGAGGGUGCGAGCGUUAAUCGGAAUUACUGGGCGUAAAGCGCGCGUAGGUGGCUUGAUAAGCCGGUUGUGAAAGCCCCGGGCUCAACCUGGGAACGGCAUCCGGAACUGUCAAGCUAGAGUGCAGGAGAGGAAGGUAGAAUUCCCGGUGUAGCGGUGAAAUGCGUAGAGAUCGGGAGGAAUACCAGUGGCGAAGGCGGCCUUCUGGACUGACACUGACACUGAGGUGCGAAAGCGUUGGUAGCAAACAGGAUUAGAUACCCCAGUAGUC